AAUCAAUGAAGCAAUAGACAUCGCUGUUUAUUUUUGUGUAUGAAUUUUGUGGUUGUUGCUGGAGUAAUAUUUAUUCCAUUAUGCUCAUUUGAUCCUUUCUGGAUUCUUAAUGGAGCAUGAGUUCUAGCAUGUCGAGUGUUCUUCGUGCAUCUAGUAGCAAGCAGAGCUCUGGAUCCAGCAAUUUUGGGUUUGAAAUGGUUUGUAAUGAAAACAGUCAGCAGAAAUUAGUUUCCUCUGGCACAGCAAGUUGGGAGUAUGAGAGAGGUAUAGAUGCCCCAGCUAUCAGUUUUAGAGGUUGCCAUGGAGACAAAUGAUUAGUACAGUUAUUGCACUUUUUAAAGCAAAAUAUGAUGAGGAGGUGCACCUCUUCAAAAAGUACAUAUUUUUGUUAGAAUGCAGAAUAAAAGCUAGUAUAUUCUGUGAAAGCUUGUGCAUUAUUGUUUCAGAGUGUUGAACCAGAGAGAAGAUAAAGGUUUAGAGAGCAUUUAGGUUUUUUAUUUUGUUCUGUUUUUAUUAUUUUAUGCUAUUAUUAGUUAAUAAUUUUUGAUGUUUUAAUUAUUUGCAUUGAGAUUUUUUU